rnacentral:rRNA from 1 species
UAGGGAAUCUUCGGCAAUGGACGGAAGUCUGACCGAGCAACGCCGCGUGAGUGAAGAAGGUUUUCGGAUCGUAAAGCUCUGUUGUUAGAGAAGAACGUUGGUAGGAGUGGAAAAUCUACCAAGUGACGGUAACUAACCAGAAAGGGACGGCUAACUACGUGCCAGCAGCCGCGGUAAUACGUAGGUCCCGAGCGUUGUCCGGAUUUAUUGGGCGUAAAGCGAGCGCAGGCGGUUCUUUAAGUCUGAAGUUAAAGGCAGUGGCUUAACCAUUGUACGCUUUGGAAACUGGAGGAUUUGAGUGCAGAAGGGGAGAGUGGAAUUCCAUGUGUAACGGUGAAAUGCGUAGAUAUAUGGAGGAACACCGGUGGCGAAAGCGGCUCUCUGGUCUGUAACUGACGCUGAGGCUCGAAAGCGUGGGGAGCAAACAGG